rnacentral:lncRNA from 10 species
CAGGCUUCUUCGGCUCCCGGCUGCCCGCGGACGCCCUCCCACAGUCAUGAACCCCCCUGAGGGAGCAGCGGAGGAAGGAGGAGCAGCAGACUCGGACGUGGACGCCUUUUUCCGGACAGCAAAAUGGAAGCUCCUCCUUGCACAGUGCAGCCCCUUCCUCACUGUAGGUUAUUCCAAGUGAGAAGAGUAAACAUGACUUCUAAAUGCCAUCUAACGAUAUAUGCAUAUCUAAAGGAGACAAGGAUGACUGAAUGCAUCUUCAUGUGUAGGAAGUGAAGUGUCUGUUGACAUUAAGUACUUCUUCAUGAGUGAGAGGAGGCCCAUGAUGGAGAUGACACCAGUACCUCCUUCUAGCACUCUGAAUUCCCAAUGUUUACUACUGCUGUCUCUGAAACUGCAGCAUCCUCACCAGGACCACACAGGGAACAAAGGCAAGACACCUGAAAUCCCUUUAGCCAUAUUCACAACACUUACUUCAUAGAUAAGAUGAUGUUUGAAAUAUGAGAAGGAUUUUUUUUUUAAAAGAGCACUCUAUUCUCUUGGUAUCCUAGUAUGAGUGCCUGAAAGUGCACAUUGGCUAGAAGGUUUCAUGUGAGCAUCAGCCCCAGGGUCCAGAAGACACUCUUGGCAAGCCUGGAGAGUGAGUAUGUUGAACAGGCAAUGGAAGCAUCCAUGAAAGGCAGGCAACUGCGCACGACUUUCCAACAGAUGGCUGGUCAGUUGCACAGAGGGAAGGAGCCAUGGAUUCCAUGAUAAUGACACUUGUGCCAGCUUUUGUGUUUCCAGAAGUUUUGAAGAUAUAAGGGAACCACCACAUGUAGAGUAUGUGAAGUCUUACAGAGACGAGGUCCUAAGGUAUUUAUUUUGACAAAUCACGUUGCAAGUAAUGUGAAAGCAGUUUGAAGAAAAAAUGUCCCCAUCUAAUGCUGCAUUAUGGCAUGCAUUUCUUUAGCCUAAAUCUGUCAGUGACAUGAAAAUACAUGUUUUGCUGGACACAUAAUAGGUUGAACACAUAAUAGGUUCUAACAUGGAUCUGCAUAAAGAAGAAAGAAGAAAGGCUAUAAAGGUAGAAGAAUAAAUGUAUAAAUAUUACAACAGGACACUGAGCUGAGUGGCUCUUUACCAUAGACCUUGCUCAUAGUUCUCACUACAGGCUUGCUCUGAGCCAACUUCCAAGUUCUCUCCUUCUCCUUCCAAACUUCCCUGUAUGUCAUCUUGCUCCUGGGCCACCUGACUGAUGUUUAAUGCCUGGAUAUUUGCUUUCACCUCUGCAUGACCAAGCCUUGGCCAAGUCACUGUUGACUCAGUUGCAACAUCUGUCCCCUGCUGAGGGCUGUUGUAGCUUUCAUAGCUCACAGUCCAGCUUGAAUCUAACCUUUUCUGUGGUCAUUCAGAGUAGCAAGAAGCAUUGUGUUUUGGAUUUACUGCAGAACUCACACACUUAACUGUACACAGUCAGUUUUUAUAGCUAUCACUGCAUCCAGAUUGGACAGUGACCUUGGCUGAGACAUCCUUUACCUCUGUUUCAGAUUAAUUUAGGCGGCAUAUAAAAUCUCUGUGCACUGCCAGGGGAAAGUAAAGACUUCAUGAAGAAAUGGAGAAGAGCCGAAUAGUUGACCAUUGUUGCUGUAUAAAUCUUGGAUCCAGGGCUAAAAGGUGGCAGUAUAAAUGCAGAUGGUGCUGCUGCCAUAUUUUCCUGGCACACCUUUAAGCAGCACAUUUCAAGCCUUCAGGGUUGGAAUGGCAUUUCCAAAUAUAGACUCAAAAAAUCCUCAGAUGUUUGAUUCUAGAAUAGAGCUGGGAAUUCUGUCCUGCAAAUGCCUUCUGCAGCAUGGGAGCAAACCCACUCUUCUGUGUCUGUUGCUUCAAACUCUCUAUUUUCUGGAAACUGGAGAAAGAUGUGGGUCUACAUUUUGAAAUAUAUGCCUUGAACAAGAAUUAUGCACCUAUAGAAAACUUGUCAUACAUUGAAUAAACUCUCAGUUUACAGAAAUCUAUGGAAAUAUCAAAAUAAAACAUCAGAAGGAGCAGUAACUAUAGAGGUUAUUAACUAAGGGGAUAACCUGAAAAAUAAAGUUAUAUUUGCUAAAAACUGU